UUUUGGUGUGGUAAAAUAUGAAAUCCUUGCCUAGUAUUUAUAGGUGUAGGCUAGAGUAGUAGAUAAACCAAAACUUUGAUUUGAUAAAGUCAAAUCCAAUGUGGCACGUAUCAUAAAAAAAUUGUACUUUAUCAUUAUUUUAUUUCAUCUAAAAGAACUACCAUUCCUAUCCAAUAAAAAUGUGGUAGCCAAUCAAUCAAAUUCAAAAUGUGUUAAAACUAUAUAAAAUUAUAUUUAUCUUGUUUUCUUUCAAUUGGGUAUAACUUAAUACGUUCUUAUCCAAAAUAACUUUUCUCGAGUCAUAGACUUCUAAUUAAUUACGACCUUCGAAAUGAGUCUAAUAUUGAUAUACAUAUCAUUACUUUAUCAAAAUCCAAUUAUUUGACCCCAAAUAUAUAAUAUAUUAAUAUUUAUUUGACCUUAAUCCCUCACUUUCAAAAUAAUAUAAUAAUUUAUUUAUUUUCUUAAAAAAAUUUCGGAAUGUUACACAAGUUCCACCCACAUAUUACACUCUUCAUUCUCCAAUAUGAUUCCUUGUAUAUUGGGAACAUCUCUUGAUUUAUUUUCGCAACUACCCACCAAUCAACUCUAUCUCUAGCCUUUGUAAGAAAACAUGUGUAAUAUACUUGUUGAGCUUUCUAAGCAAGUAUAAAUACAUCAUUUCUCUGUAGUUUCUUCUUAUGAUUAAGCUCGACAAGAUUGAAUCUUCAAUGGACUCUAACCCCACCAUGGGUGUUAAAUUAAUCACACUUAAAUAAAAUAACCUUGUUUCCAAUAUCCCCUAAAUAAUCCAGUUCCAAUAUUUCAAUUAACCUACCAUAGUAGUCGCGCUCAUAAUCAUUAUGACAACUUCCCAGUACGCACACACCACUAUUCAUUGUUGCUUUGUUGGAACCAUAGUCUAAAGUAUAGAACUAAAACCCAUUGACAAAUUAUCCGUUAUAACAUUUAACUGUAUGAGAGGGACCCAUAGCCAAAGCCUUAAUACAAUUAUCAACUGCAUUAUGAUCAUCCAAAACCUGAACAGAAGAAAUAUUGUGCAUUAGAACUCAUUUUAUGAAAUACUUUGUAGGCAGUGGAGACAAUAUUUGCAUAAUUACUUAUAUAUUCCUUCAACCAGCCUGAAAAAUGUUCAUCAUGUAAACCAUCAAAUUGUGCAUUAGAAAAUUUGGGAAUACGAUGUUCUCAUGUGUUUAUCAAACUCCUACAAGAAAGUGAAAAACUAAAAUACAGCUAACUAACUAUUUAAUUCGACACAUAUAUUUCAAAUGUAAUUAUAACAACUUAUGCUACAAAAGGGGUUACUUCUUCACAAUUCAAGAGCACAUAUAUUGAAGCUGCUCUGAAUUCCUCAGUUGUUAUUAAUCUGACAUUAUGACAUUGAAUGCCAAAGGAUCGUCCAAGGUGAGUAAAAAUCGAUUGUCAUCCUUUAAGAUUGACAAAACCUCCAUAAUCAUUUCUCGACACACGAUUCAACCUUGUUUCAACAUGUUGAUCAAAAUACAAAGAGCAAAAAGUAUACGUUUCUUCUACUAGAUAUGUCUCUACAAUAGAUGCCUCAACAUGAGGCUAAUUUUUCACCUUCUUUUUUAAAUGGUGUAGGAACCUGCGAUACAUGAAAUUAAUAUUCAAUAUCAUUCUGAUUUCAAAAGGUAAUUUAAAUUUUAAAGAAUAUGAUACCUUUCAAAAGGAUACAUCCAAUGAUACUAAACAGGACCUCCAACCUUUGCUUCAAAUGCUAGAUGAAUAGGUAAAUGUUCCAUUGAAUUAGAAAAUCCCGAUGAAAAUAUCUUUUUAGGAUAAACGAAAUCUAUUUUCCAGUUCAAUCC
rnacentral:lncRNA from 1 species